rnacentral:tRNA from 1 species
GGGCCCGUAGAUCAGCGGAAGAUCGCUUGAUAAACUUUCAUGUUUCAUGAAUUUUAUGAGAUUCGCAUUCAAGAGGUCGCGGGUUCAAUUCCCGCCGGGUCCA